ensembl:lncRNA
UGUCACUACAGCUCCCCAGAUGAAACUCUGUCUGAUCUUCAGAAAGUUCGCUCUCUCUUCUGUGAUCUUCGUCUCUUUGUAGAUUUUUACUGUGAGUAUAAUUUAUUUACUCCUUCAUUCUUUCAUUUAUUCAUUGGUUUAUUUCUUUAAUUAUUAAUUUAUUCAACACAACACUUUAUCUAAUUGUCAUUCAUACUGGAGCCACGCCUUUCAGUGGGCGUGUUCUUAUUCAUAGUUAUACAAAUAACUUGCUUACAGUUACAUUGUUUAUGUGGUACACGUUACCAUGGUGACGAGAAGCUAAUCAGCAGCCAGCUACUGUAACUAACCUCCCGUUGGUUUGGAGAACUGCUGAAGCAUUAACCUGACAGUACUAUUGAUUCAUGAUUAAUGAUACAUAAUUACUGAUUGAAUAAUGUUUGAUGAAUUGUUUUCUCCUUUGAGAAGGUUUUCCAAACAAAGAGAAGAAGAAGCUGGUAUAUUUAUCAGGGACGGUUCCUGUUCUCUACGAAGGUGACGCUUUUCUUCUACACGUCAUUUUAUCUAACAGCUGCUCGUGCAUUCCCUAUCACAUAUUACAUUUAUUGAACACAUCAACACAUACAAACUGAUCAAGGAGCUAUGGAUCUUCAUGAUUAUAAACAACAACAACAACAACAACCCCAGAGUGAGAUGUAUUGACAUUAACCAGGGGAGGGGCUCCCUUUUGUCUACAGGAAGUGAGUAUAAUAUCCCAGUGUGCAUCUGGCUUCAUGAGACCCACCCGCUGUCCAGACCUCGCUGUUUCAUCUGUCCCUUCGUCUCCAUGGUGAUCAACCCGUCCUCUAGCGUGGACGCCUCCGGCAACAUUCACCUAGACGGACUCACUAACUGGACUCAUGGCGUGUCAAACCUGUCAUUGCUUGUGUCAGAGAUGAGGCGGGCCUUCCAGAAGGACAUGCCCCUUUAUGCCAGGUCUCCUGUGAAAGCCCCGUCCCCUGCAGGUGUGCAGGUGCCUGCCCAAAGCAUCCAUUAUUCCUCCUCCAUCUCCUCCACCAGCCCCACCUCUCCCUCUUCCUGCUCGUCCUACUCCUCUCCCCAGAGGCCUAAUCGCUCCUUCACCUCGUCCCAGAAAGUGACCUGA